rnacentral:rRNA from 1 species
GAUGAACGCUGGCGGCGUGCUUAACACAUGCAAGUCGAACGGUGAACGAGGGAGCUUGCUCCCUCCGGAUCAGUGGCGAACGGGUAAGUAACACGUGAGCAAUCUGCCCUGGACUCUGGGAUAAGCGUUGGAAACGACGUCUAAUACCGGAUACGAGGCGUGGGGGCAUCCCCAACGCCUGGAAAGAACUUCGGUCCAGGAUGAGCUCGCGGCCUAUCAGGUAGUUGGUGAGGUAAUGGCUCACCAAGCCUACGACGGGGAGCCGGCCUGAGAGGGUGACCGGCCACACUGGGACUGAGACACGGCCCAGACUCCUACGGGAGGCAGCAGUGGGGAAUAUUGCACAAUGGGCGAAAGCCUGAUGCAGCAACGCCGCGUGAGGGACGACGGCCUUCGGGUUGUAAACCUCUUUUAGCAGGGAAGAAGCGAAAGUGACGGUACCUGCAGAAAAAGCACCGGCUAACUACGUGCCAGCCGCCGCAGUAACAC